rnacentral:rRNA from 1 species
GAAGGGGGCUAGCGUUGCUCGGAAUCACUGGGCGUAAAGGGUGCGUAGGCGGGUCUNUAAGUCAGGGGUGAAAUCCUGGAGCUCAACNCCAGAACUGCCUUUGAUACUGAAGAUCUUGAGUUCGGGAGAGGUGAGUGGAACUGCGAGUGUAGAGGUGAAAUUCGUAGAUAUUCGCAAGAACACCAGUGGCGAAGGCGGCUCACUGGCCCGAUACUGACGCUGAGGCACGAAAGCGUGGGGAGCAAACAGGAUUAGAUACCCUGGUAGUCCACGCCGUAAACGGUGGAUGCUGGAUGUGGGGCCCGUUCCACGGGUUCCGUGUCGGAGCUAACGCGUUAAGCAUCCCGCCUGGGGAGU